rnacentral:rRNA from 1 species
UACGUAGGGUGCAAGCGUUAAUCGGAAUUACUGGGCGUAAAGCGUGCGCAGGCGGUCUGUUAAGACCGAUGUGAAAUCCCCGGGCUUAACCUGGGAACUGCAUUGGUGACUGGCAGGCUUUGAGUGUGGCAGAGGGAGGUAGAAUUCCACGUGUAGCAGUGAAAUGCGUAGAGAUGUGGAGGAAUACCGAUGGCGAAGGCAGCCUCCUAGGCCAACACUGACGCUCAUGCACGAAAGCGUGGGAGC